GUUUUGCUCGCAAUAAACUCUUCCAAUUUGGUGCAGCGAGUGUUCCCGCCUGAAAGCCGAGUUUGGUCUCAAGCCACCCUGGACAAUUGCUGUAUGAGGCGCCGUUUCUCGGGAGGACCAGUGGGAAGGCGUCAGGUCAUGCAGAUGAUAGCAGCAGUUUCACAAUGCCCAGCCUUGGUGCCCUCCAUCAAGAGCAAGCCACUUGCAUUCGCCUUCAGACAGAUUGUUGAUGUCUUCUUGGAAACAGUUUGGAAGACAGCAUUGAUGCAAGAUUCCAACGAUGCCAUGCGCUGCACUUAUUGGUCAAGAUGCUCAGAGAAUGGAGUUCCUGCAUCUCAUGGUUAACCGUGAACAGUAUUCUUUUUUGCUUUUUGAGUGCUAAAUGCCAUUUGCUGCAUCAAUUGCAUUUUUGCAGCUCAAAUGUGUACCAUA